CAAUAACUCUGCGCAGCCAAAGAGCAGCCAUAUUACUUCCUCUCCUUUCAGAGGGUCAGGAGGCUCCUCAUGGAAAUCCAUGGGUCCAGCCCGCCUUUAAACAGUCACCAGAUGAGAGACUACACACCACCAGGGAUGGUCCCCGUGGCCAUGCCGUUUCAAAUUCCACCACAUGAUGUCUGGCAGGUAAACUAUACUGCAGUUCUGAGCCUUCCUGCAAACUUUAUACUAUACCAGCACAA